GUUUUACAGAUGCAGUGUUUGCUUUGCCCGAAGCUGCUGACGUAUAAUAAUGAUAAUAAUACGUCAUCAAUGCUGAGGCAUUAUAGAGCCACACACGAGAACACUCAGCCUCAUGCCACCAGUCAAGGAUCCAGGAAGCAAGAGCUUGAUGAAGCUCUUGUGGACUUCAUAGAUAAGGACUCCCAGCCUCU